UAUUGGCCAAUGGGGGCAAGCCUGAUCCAGCAAUUCCGCGUGUGUGAAGAAGCCCUUAGGGUUGUAAAGCACUUUCAAUUGGGAGGAAAACCUGCCGGUCAAUACCCGGUAGCUUGACAUUACCUUUAGAAGAAGCACCGGCUAACUCCGUGCCAGCAGCCGCGGUAAUACGGAGGGUGCGAGCGUUAAUCGGAAUUACUGGGCGUAAAGCGUGCGUAGGCGGUUCGUUAAGUCAGAUGUGAAAUCCCUGGGCUCAACCUGGGAACGGCAUUUGAAACUGGCGGACUAGAGUUUAGUAGAGGGGAGUGGAAUUUCAGGUGUAGCGGUGAAAUGCGUAGAUAUCUGAAGGAACACCAGUGGCGAAGGCGACUCCCUGGACUAGAACUGACGCUGAGACGAAA
rnacentral:rRNA from 1 species